rnacentral:snoRNA from 1 species
AUCCCAUGGUGAGGGCAUUCUGAUAUGUAAUCUUGAAAGUGUUCCCAUGUCUCAGGGGCAGAUUCAUUAUACUGCUGCUGAAAAGUUGAGAUCUUCAUACGUAGGGC